ensembl:lncRNA
AGGGGCGUGUGGGCUGGAGGUCGCUGUCCCUUCUGCGAAUCGGUCGAGCAACGCUGGAGUGGGCAGCUGGGUCAACGGAGACCUAAAUAUGGGGUUAGGUCGGGAGCGGUCACAGCUUCAUUCAUUGGGCAGCUACCAGGGCUUGCCAUGCGCUGUGAGGCACUGUGUCGAAGCCCCUCCUUGCCUCCCCAGAGCUUUGCUCUGUCCGCUCCACACCAACCUCCAAGCGUAAAUAAAGUUCCCUCCCUUUGGCUCAGCCUUUUAAGGAGCCUUUGUGACCGCGGAGGGUGGUUUGCUCUGACACUAACCAAACUUCACCUUCUGGAGGGCCACUUGCCCAGGUCCCGUUUGUGGCCAUGGUAUGGAUCUUAGCAACGUGUUCACACGAUCAUGUUUUUAUAAACUUAGCAAAACUGGCGGUAUCAGUAUUUUAAUCCACAUCUGUUAAGACAACUGCCUCUUUCCACUGGGACUUUCCGGUCUGGGAGCAUUGAAGUAGCCAGGGGCAUCUUGGGGAGUUUUUAGGUCGGUCUUCUCUUGACUAGGGCUUGAUUGUGUCUACUUGGGCUGCCUUUGGGUUCUGGGUUGUACAGAGUCCCGAUGAGAGACUCAGUAAAGAUAAAAGGGAAACAGUUGCCUUUCUAAAGUGCCUCCAAAUCUCGGAUGGUGGCAGCCUCCUCCCUCCACCCCUCCCAUCAACGAAAGAAGGACAGCGUGUGGUGAAAGAGAACCAUCAGAAGAACUGCAGCCAUGGGUCCUCUCUCUGUGUCAGGCAAGGCUUUACUGUGAACCACUAAUGUGCCAGGUACCAUGUGUGGAGGCACUGGCCCAAAGAUGAAGAUGAGGUUUCUCUCCUUGAGAAGCGGAGUGUGGGAGACAGACAGGUGUCCUUCUAAGAGAAAGGCAGUGGUUCCU